CAGCCCACUUGUUUUGUGAAUACAACACAAAAGGAAAUAUAAGAAACUUCCUUUUCCUCCUCCCCGUGGUCGUCGAUUUUAUUAUGAAGCUAAGCUUCUAGACACACAUCUGUUCUGGUAGUUAUUUGUAUGAGUUGACAUUCAACAUUAGUAUCAAGGACAUUCGACAUGAAGCUAUUAUAAUACAUCCCGUUCGACUGUGUAAAUGUGUUCAUUUAUCAACCAAACCUUGGUGAAUGUACAAUCAGGGGGAGCCUUGAUGCCUUCUCAUGUAAAGCAUGCAAGAAAUGAUUGUUGACUUUCAAUAAGCUUUGAAUAUGAGG